AGUGAACGCUGGCGGUAGGCCUAACACAUGCAAGUCGAACGGCAGCACAGUAAGAGCUUGCUCUUACGGGUGGCGAGUGGCGGACGGGUGAGGAAUACAUCGGAAUCUACUUUUUCGUGGGGGAUAACGUAGGGAAACUUACGCUAAUACCGCAUACGACCUACGGGUGAAAGCAGGGGAUCUUCGGACCUUGCGCGAUUGAAUGAGCCGAUGUCGGAUUAGCUAGUUGGCGGGGUAAAGGCCCACCAAGGCGACGAUCCGUAGCUGGUCUGAGAGGAUGAUCAGCACCACUGGAACUGGGACAGGGUCCGACGUCAUACGGGAGGCAGCGGUCGGGAAGAUGGGAACGUAGGCGCAAGCCUAACCCAGCGAUACCCGGUGGGUGAAGAAGGCCUUCGGUUUGUAAAACUCUUUUGUUGGGAAAGAAAAGCAGCAGGUGAAUACCCGGCUGUUCUGAGGGUACCCAAUGAAAAAGCACCGGCUAACUUCGUG
rnacentral:rRNA from 1 species